rnacentral:rRNA from 1 species
GCGCAGCAGGCGAGAAACCUCCACAAUGUGGGCAACCACGAUGGGGGAACUCCAAGUGCCUAGACUUAUGUCUAGGCUGUUCUCGAGCCUAAAAAGCUCGAGAAGUAAGGGCCGGGUAAGACGGGUGCCAGCCGCCGCGGUAAUACCCGCGGCCCGAGUGGUGCUCAUUAUUAUUGAGCCUAAAGCGUCCGUAGCUGGCCAGGCAAAUCUCCGGGUAAAUCGGGCGGCCCAACCGUCCGAAUUCCGGAGACACUGCUUGGCUUGGGAUCGGGAGAGGGUGAAGGUACUCCCGGGGUAGGGGUAAAAUCCUGUAAUCCUGGGGGGACCACCAGUGGCGAAGGCGUUCACCUAGAACGAAUCCGACAGUGAGGGACGAAGCCCUAGGGCGCAAACGGGAUUAGAUACCCCCGUAGUCC